GAUGAACGCUAGCAGAAUGCUUAACACAUGCAAGUCGAACGAACCUUCGUUUUGAAUUGAUUUCUUCCUCGGAAGAGUGAUAUGAUAGACAUUUAGGUUAGUGGCAAACGGGCGAGUAACACGUAUCUAAUCUGCCCCGAAGUGGAGUAUAACUGGAGAAAUCCCGCUAAUACGCCAUGUGAUGAUAGAAAUGAAAAUACUAUCAUUAAAGAUUUAUCGCUUCGGGAGGAGGAUGCGGCCUAUUAGGUAGUUGGUUGAGGUAAUGGCUCACCAAGCCGAUGAUGGGUAACCGAUCUGAGAGGAUGACCGGUCGCAAUGGGACUGAGACACGGCCCAUACUCCUACGGGAGGCAGCAGUGGGGAAUCGGGGACAAUGGAGGAAACUCUGAUCCUGCAAUUCUGCGUGGAGGACGACGCCUUACGGGGUGUAAACUCCUUUUCUGGUGGAAGACGACUGACUGUACACCAGGAAUAAGGGACGGCUAACUACGUGCCAGCAGCCGCGGUAAUACGUAGGUCCCAAGCGUUAUCCGGAUUUACUGGGCGUAAAGCGUCUGUAGCUGGUUAUAUCAGUCUGUUUUCAAAGCCCACGACUCAAUCGUGGAUCGGGAAUGGAUACUGUAUGACUGGAGGUACCGAGGGGUAGAUGGAAUUUCCUGUGGAGCGGUGGAAUGCGUUGAUAUAGGAAGGAACGCCAAAAGCGAAGGCAGUCUACUAUUGGAUACCUGACAGUGAGAGACGAAAGUAUGGGUAGCAAACGGGAUUAGAUACCCCGGUAGUCCAUACCGUAAAUGAUGCUUGCUAGGUGUUUCGACAUUUGUUAUAUUGUAUAGUAGUAUACUAUAACAAAUGUCGGAGUACCGUAAGUUAACACGUUAAGCAAGCCGCCUGAGUAGUAUAGUCGCAAGACCGAAACUCAAAGGGAUAGGCGGGGGAACACACAAGCAGUGGAUUGUCUAGAUUAAUUGGAUAAUAAGCCAAAAAUCUCACCUAGGCUUGACAUCCUAAGAAAAGUUUUGUAAUGAAACCGUGCCUUCGGGAACUUAGUGACAGGCGCUGCACGGUCGUCGUCAGCUCGUGCCGCAAGGUGUCCAGUUAAGUCUGGUAACGAGCGCAACCCUUGUCGUAUGUUAGAAUGUCAUACGAGACUGCCUGGGCAACCAGGAGGAAGGAGAGGAUGACGUCAGAUCAUCAUGGCCCUUAUGCCUAGGGCUUCAUAGACAAUACAAUGGGUAGUACAAUGGGAAGCGAAGUCGUGAGGCUGAGCAAAUCUCGAAAGCUAUCCUCAGUUCGGAUUGUAGUCUGGAACUCGACUACAUGAAGUUGGAAUUGCUAGUAAUGGUGGAUCAGAAUGCCACCGUGAAUAUGUCCCUGUUCCU
rnacentral:rRNA from 1 species